CCACAAUGGGGGGAAACCCUGAUGGAGCGACGCCGCGUGCGGGGAUGAAGGCCCUAUGGGUUGUAAACCGCUGUUCAGUGGAAAGAACAUCCUCCGGCUGAAUAGGUCGGAGGCCUGACGGUUACCACUGCAGAAAGUCCCGGCCAACUCCGUGCCAGCAGCCGGCGGUAAUACGGGGGGGGACGAGCGUUGUCCGGAAUCAUUGGGCGUAAAGGGCGC
rnacentral:rRNA from 1 species